rnacentral:rRNA from 1 species
CGGAACGGGUGAGUAACGCGUGAGGAACCUGCCUCAAAGAGGGGACAACAGUUGGAAACGACUGCUAAUACCGCAUAAGCCCACGGCUCGGCAUCGAGCAGAGGGAAAAGGAGUGAUCCGCUUUGAGAUGGCCUCGCGUCCGAUUAGCUAGUUGGUGAGGUAACGGCCCACCAAGGCGACGAUCGGUAGCCGGACUGAGAGGUUGAACGGCCACAUUGGGACUGAGACACGGCCCAG